rnacentral:tRNA from 1 species
GGGCAUGUGGUGUAGUUGGUUAUCACGCUCGCUUAGCAUACAUUAUAUGGCUUGCGAGAGGGGUCCGGUUCAAUCCCGGACAUGUCCA